UGAGUAACCUGCCCUUCACUCUGGGAUAACUCCGGGAAACCGGGGCUAAUACUGGAUACGACCUACUCAGGCAUCCGAUGUGGGUGGAAAGAUUUAUCGGUGAGGGAUGGACUCGCGGCCUAUCAGCUUGUUGGUGAGGUAAUGGCUCGCCAAGGCGACAACGGGUAGCCGGCCUGAGAGGGCGAUCGGCCACACUGGGACUGAGACACGGCCCAGACUCCUACGGGAGCA
rnacentral:rRNA from 1 species